rnacentral:rRNA from 1 species
AUUGAACGCUAGCGGGAUGCUUUACACAUGCAAGUCGAACGGCAGCGCGGACUUCGGUCUGGCGGCGAGUGGCGAACGGGUGAGUAAUGUAUCGGAACGUGCCCAGUAGCGGGGGAUAACUACGCGAAAGCGUAGCUAAUACCGCAUACGCCCUACGGGGGAAAGGGGGGGAUCGCAAGACCUCUCACUAUUGGAGCGGCCGAUAUCGGAUUAGCUAGUUGGUGAGGUAAAGGCUCACCAAGGCGACGAUCCGUAGCUGGUUUGAGAGGACGACCAGCCACACUGGGACUGAGACACGGCCCAGACUCCUACGGGAGGCAGCAGUGGGGAAUUUUGGACAAUGGGGGCAACCCUGAUCCAGCCAUCCCGCGUGUGCGAUGAAGGCCUUCGGGUUGUAAAGCACUUUUGGCAGGGAAGAAAAGUUUCGGGCUAAUACCCUGGAGCGAUGACGGUACCUGCAGAAUAAGCACCGGCUAACUACGUGCCAGCCGCCGCGGUAACAC